UACAGAGGGGGCAAGCGUUAUUCGGAAUUAUUGGGCGUAAAGGGCGCGUAGGCGGCCGAUCAAGUCGGGGGUGAAAGCCUGUGGCUCAACCACAGAAUGGCCUUCGAUACUGGUUGGCUCGAGACCGGAAGAGGUGAGUGGAACUGCGAGUGUAGAGGUGAAAUUCGUAGAUAUUCGCAAGAACACCAGUGGCGAAGGCGGCUCACUGGUCCGGUUCUGACGCUGAGACGCGAAGGCGUGGGGAGCGAACGGG
rnacentral:rRNA from 1 species